UACGUAGGGGCCGAGCGUUGUCCGGAGUUAUUGGGCGUAAAGCGCGCGCAGGCGGCCUCGCGCGCCCGACGUGAAAGCCCCCGGCUUAACCGGGGAGGGUCGUUGGGGACGGCGGGGCUUGAGGGCGGGAGAGGGUGGUGGAAUUCCCGGUGUAGUGGUGAAAUGCGUAGAGAUCGGGAGGAACACCCGUGGCGAAGGCGACGUCCUGGACCGGUAUUGACGCUGAGGCGCGAAAGCCAGGGGAGCAAACGGG
rnacentral:rRNA from 1 species